rnacentral:ncRNA from 2 species
AACUUAUCCAGAAAGACCGAGGGUUUGGGCCCAAAGACGUCUUAGCAUCCUAUCCUGGCGGUCCACGUCAGCAUGUUGUGCUAAAUCCCAUCCUGAUGAAUAUGUCAGGAAAAGAUAAGUA